AUUGAACGCUGGCGGCAGGCCUAACACAUGCAAGUCGAACGAUUGGCGGACGGGUGAGUAAUGUCUGGGAAAUUGCCUGAUGUACGCGGAUAAUUACUGGAAACGGUAGCUACUACCGCCUACCAUCGGAUGUGCCCAGAUUGGAUUAGCUAGUCGGUGGGGUAAAGGCUCACCUAGGCGACGCUCCCUAGCUGGUCUGAGAGGAUGACCAGCCACACUGGAACUGAGACACGGUCCAGACUCCUACGUGAGGCAGCAGUGGGGAAUAUUUCACAAUGGGCGAAAGCCUGACGCAGCCAUGCCGCGUGUAUGAAGAAGGUCUUCGGGUUGUAAAGUACUUUCAUCGGGGAGGCGUUACCCGCAGAGGAAGCACCGGCUAACUCCGUGCCAGCCGCCGCGGUAAUAC
rnacentral:rRNA from 1 species